UUCUAUAUUAUUGUUAUUAUUAUUCACUUCAUUUCAGAUUCAGGUGUCCCAAGUCACUUCAACAGUGAUGAUCUACAGCUGAACAUCUUAUAAGUUCUGUUUUAUUAAGACCUAAUUUAGGGCUUCUCCUUUUCGUUGAGACUUGCUCUGCUGUGGCUUUGCCCCUCCCUCAUCUUGGAGGGUGAAGUUUCUAUUUUUAAGAGCUAUGCCAUCAGCAGCAUCCCCUUUCCAGCCCAGGUUGGAUGUGAGUGAGAAGUUGCUUUGGAUGUUUCUGUUAGUGGGUGUGCGAGUGGGUAGUUUAAGGAAUCUUCAUAAGUGAUUUGGAGACUUUAAAUAUCUGUGGAAUGGGGGAGCUUAACUUUUGCCGAAAUCAUGAUGGAUUGGCAGCGACGUUUAGGCUUCAAUUGAAGAACGAGCAUUUCGCUUGCAUCUUUGGAUUGGAGGAUCUUUGAUGGGUGCCUCCUGAUUUGACGAUAUUGACGAAUUGUUUGGUUUGGGAUGUCUGAGAUCGAAGGAUGUCUUAAUUGAAUGGAAUCUUGGCUACUCGAUGAUGGUGUCAAGUUUGAAUGUUCCAGUGCUUAUGAGGAAGAAGCCGAGACACGGGAAUUCAGAGUUGAUGAGGUUGGCAAAUACUCUGAGAGGAGAUGAAGUCAUGCUUUGGAAAGGAGAAUGUGCUCUUAUUUUUUGGGGGAAAAAAUGUAUGAACCUAUUUCCAUUAUCCAUUUUACUUUGACUUAAUGGGUCUUUUUGAUGGAGACAAA